rfam:Bacillus megaterium QM B1551, complete genome.
AAGUUAUCACGAGUGGACGAGAGAUCUGGCUCUUUGACUCCACAGCAACCUACGAAUGUAAGGUGCUCCUACCAGCAAAGCAUGUGCUUUGGGUGAUAAAAC